GUAAUCUUGAUCGUGACCAUUCUGACUAGGGUGAGAUGAAAACUUAAAAUUUUUUUGAGUCACAACAAUUAAAAAUUUUUAUGUGCUUGGUGCCUGUGGAGGCCAGAAGAGGGGUUUUGAUCUCCUAGCGCUGAAGUUGUAGGCCAUUGUGAGCUGGGAUUUGGGUCAUGGGAACCAAGCCUGGGUCCCCUGAAAGAGCAAUGAACACUUGUAUAACAUGCAGAAGAAUAUAAAGGAAUGGGAGUUCCUCCAGGGCAAACAACUCAGAAGAUGUACACUGGUUAAGCCAUUAUUACAAGCAGGCCAUGUAGUCUCUGGGACCUGGAAGUACACUCACCUGCCUUCCUUGGAAUUAACCUGCUUGGGAAUUUUUGUAAGGGAAUGAUCCAAGGGUAUCUUGGUGACAUCAAACAGGCACCCUUCCCUUGGAGGUCCCCCCAGGCCUCCUUCAGCUGUGUGUGAUGGGCCCACAGAGUGACACUGGCAACCUUCACUGCUGUAUGGGGGAUGAGGACCACAAGAUGGGUUGGCUCCAGGCACUUGGUUGGGAUCCUCUUUACCCACACAAGGUCACCAAGCUGGAACUUGUGGGCAGGCAAGGACACAGCCUCUCAACCCAUCUGAUGAAUUGUCCUCUGGGUCUGUUGAAGAACAUGUAGGACCUGUAAAGACUUGAGGAGAGAAUGGGCAUGAAACAUUAUGGAAAAGAGACUCGUCUUCUCUGAAGAAAGCGUGGAGAACUACUUUGGCUACAUGAUGUCAAGUGAAAGAUGCCAAGGUCACAAGGAACAACCAAAGGGAGGAAGUGGCAUCAUGCCCUGACUAUCUCUCCCCAUCAGUGCAUCGCUUGCCUACAAACCUUUCCUUUGUCUCACAUUGUGCUCUCUUGAGUACUGUCUGAAUUCUCAGAGGAAAGACUCACAUUUGAUUGUCUUGUGCAUAAGGUGGGUCAGCUUGAGCUGUGCAACAGAAAGCCACAAUCAGUGUUUACCUGCACAAUAUUGCUCCUGAAGGCGGCAUUAAUUAAUGUGGAAACACACUAGAAAUGUGUAAUUUUUCAUUUGCAAACAUUUAUAGAACACAGUAAAAAUUCUGUGAUAAGGCCAAACCUUUUUUCUCCCUAGCCUUUUUUUUUUGUAUGUGUGUGUUUUUAAUGUCUUUUUUUUCCUUUUUUUAAAGAUUAAAGUAAAAUGUCUCAAUUGUAAAAAAUACACACCGGGCAAAUCCUUACCUGGAUAAUAAAUAUCUACAUCACAGUACAAUAAAAUUUCUUCUCUAUAAAAUUUAAAUAUGGAUCAGUCUAUCACUAUCAAAAGAAACACUAUGCUAAUAUUUCCAUAUUAUUAAAAUAACAGGAAAUUAUGAGCUUAUUUUAGGACCUGAUGCCAUCGCCAUUGGGAAGGGCAAAGAGAUUCAAUUGUCCGCCAUCUCUCAUUUUGAGGAGGACCUGUGGUUUGGUUAUUCACUUAAAUUAAGUUCAUGAAAAAGGUUUAGCCUUACAAAAUGCUGGCUACAUCUCAAAAACCAUAAGACUGAUUUCAUAAUUUAUGACUCAUGCAGCAAAAGGUCAAUAUGACAUGGAUAGGUUUGAGUUCCACAGAACGAAGAUGUCUUAGUGACAAUGACAUGCUCUGAAGAGGCCCAGCAGGUCAUGAGGCUGGGUUGGGGAGGGCUAAGUGUGAGGAGAUCAAGGCUUGGGCGCCAGCCUGCAGGUUGACGUGAGAAGGACACUGCAGAGCAAGCAGAGCCAGCCUUGCUCCCCCGAGAUUGCACUGGGACGCAGGUGGCUCUGGGGCCACAGGCGGGGGAUGCGCUGGGCUGAGGCUCCAACAAACAAGCGCAUCACAGAGGGCUGAGGCUUAUCACACUAGAAAAAGCUCAGAGGCGGCACAUGGUGUUUUCAGCAGAAUCUAGAGAAGAAAAGUUGGUCUUUUUUCUUCCAGUUUCUGGAAGUUUCUGCACAUUGACACUGAAGUGCAACGUACACUCGAGAGAACAAACACACGUAUGCACACAUGUGCACACACACACACGUCUGUUGCAUGUGCACAGCCCUCUCAUCCAUACAUAUGAUUUGUAAGUGAGCAUUCCAGCUGAAUGGGCAUGUUGUCUUUGACUGGAAUGUCCUCCCCUCCACAUAAUGGGGCAGGUGUGAAGGUUUUUUUCCCACCACAUCCACACUUGAUUUGAAAGUCUGGACAAGAUUAGAAGAAAUGCUUUUUAAAAAGAAAAGAAAAAAGUUGGGAGUCAAUGCCUCAUGAUCUAGUUUCAUAAAAUGGAGUUUCCCAGAGGAGGGCGUGACUUCAGUCAUUCUGACCUCCUGGGGUUCCUGUUUCUUCCCGUCAGAAGACUGAAGCUUGCAUAUCUUACUCAGUACGAAUGCUCAACCUUCAACAUGCUUGCUAGAGCAAAGUCUGCCCCUUGAAAGUCAGCCUUUACAGGGCGAGGACCAUGAGCUGGGGCUGGCUGGAUGCCGAGGAUUGGGCUAGUUCCCAGAGGUGAUCCCUAGAACACUCUGAAUGACCCCGGUCCAAACCCUGCACUAAUGCUGGAAUCCGGUGUCUGAUGUCCUUUGGAAACAGCCAGAAUCAGGAAAGUUCCUCAGAACUCUGAUAUCCCGUGAGUCUGUGCGCCUGUUCAGGACUCCCCUGCCCGCCUCCCUCUUUCUUCCUAUGGAAGGAGAACUUGCCUCACAGCAAGCUUGUUUUUAUUGUUUGGGGUUCUCCAGGAGAGUUGACCGAGGAAACAGAUGUUUUAUGAAGUUUGUGAGGGAGGAGGUUAGCUACCGGCUGCCUGGGAAAGCAAACCCUUGACAGAUAUUUGACCAUGAAUCCAUGGGGCUUCUUGCUUCUAUUUUAAUCUCUACACCAAGUCUACAAUGCGUUGUUGUUUCCUUUACCUGGGAAGUCUUUCUAAGGGCUUUAGCGCACAUGUGUGCUGUCUCCCUAGGCUAUUUUCAUGGGCUCUGGGGACUUCCAGUGCUGGGCCUCUAUUCUUCCAAGGCCAUUCUGCCUUCCUCUGAGUCAAAUUCUCAUUUUGAAUAAAAGUCAAAUACAUUCCUUAAUUGUAAAUGGGUCUUGCUUUUUUGUCUGAUAAAGCUACACAUUUGAAUAUGAAAGGAAGUUUUCAAGGAUCCCCCCCCCCCUUUACUGGAA
rnacentral:lncRNA from 1 species